rnacentral:rRNA from 1 species
UACGUAGGGUGCAAGCGUUUAAUCGGAAUUACUGGGCGUAAAGCGUGCGCAGGCGGUCUGUUAAGACCGAUGUGAAAUCCCCGGGCUUAACCUGGGAACUGCAUUGGUGACUGGCAGGCUUUGAGUGUGGCAGAGGGAGGUAGAAUUCCACGUGUAGCAGUGAAAUGCGUAGAGAUGUGGAGGAAUACCGAUGGCGAAGGCAGCCUCCUGGGCCAACACUGACGCUCAUGCACGAAAGCGUGGGGAGCAAACAGG